rnacentral:rRNA from 1 species
AUGUCCACCGACGCCGACCGUGCCGCCGCCGAGAAAGCUGAAGCCGACAAGAAGGUCGCUGAGGACGCCGCUGCUGCCACCAAAGCCGCGGCCUCUGCGUGGCCUACUGGAGGGUAUAACUUGUUUAUCCCGCUCCUGAUUAUUUUCAUAUUAGCAGUACUAGCAGUAUGUGUAGAUUUGUCUACUGUUUGCUUAGUACGUGCAUGUUUAGAUCAGAGUCAGUUCGUCAUCAACUUAGUCAAUGCCAUGCUAGUGAUUUACUCAUGGAUUAAUUUAAUCGAGAAAUUGCCUAUUUACUCAACAUAG